UUCUAGAGCUAAUACAUGCACCAAAGCUCUGACCUUGCGGAAAGAGUGCAUUUAUUAGAGCAAAACCAAGCGACUUCGGUCGUUUAAUGCUGACUCAGAAUAACUCAGCUGAUCGUACGGUCUUUGAACCGGCGACGUGUCUUUUGAGUAUCUGCCUUAUCAAUUUUCGAUGGUAGUGUAUCUGACUACCAUGGUGUUGACGGGUAACGGAGAAUAAGGGUUCGACUCCGGAGAAGGGGCCUGAGAAAUGGCCACUACGUCUAAGGAUGGCAGCAGGCGCGCAAAUUACCCACUCUCAGUACGAGGAGGUAGUGACGAGAAAUAACGAGACCGUUCUCUUAGAGGCCGGUUAUCGGAAUGGGUACAAUUUAAACCCUUUAACGAGUAUCUAUGAGAGGGCAAGUCUGGUGCCAGCAGCCGCGGUAAUUCCAGCUCUCAAAAUGCAUAGAACCAUUGCUGCGGUUAAAAAGCUCGUAGUUGAAUCUUUGCCAGAGACUUGGUCGACUCCUUUGAGCGCGUACUAAGUUCUUUGGCUUUUACCGUCGGUUUUCUUGUUGUCGCCUUUAUUGGUGGUGGCAAGUGGCUGACAAUUUUACUUUGAACAAAUCAGAGUGCUCAACACA
rnacentral:rRNA from 1 species